GACGAACGCUGGCGGCGUGCUUAACACAUGCAAGUCGAACGGAAAGGCCCUGCUUUUGUGGGGUGCUCGAGUGGCGAACGGGUGAGUAACACGUGAGUAACCUGCCCUUGACUUUGGGAUAACUUCAGGAAACUGGGGCUAAUACCGGAUAGGAGCUCCUGCUGCAUGGUGGGGGUUGGAAAGUUUCGGCGGUUGGGGAUGGACUCGCGGCUUAUCAGCUUGUUGGUGGGGUAGUGGCUUACCAAGGCUUUGACGGGUAGCCGGCCUGAGAGGGUGACCGGCCCCAUUGGGCCUGAGAUACGGCCCAGACUCCUCCGGGAGGCAGCAGUGGGGAAUAUUGCACAAUGGGCGGAAGCCUGAUGCAGCAACGCCGCGUGCGGGAUGACGGCCUUCGGGUUGUAAACCGCUUUCGCCUGUGACGAAGCGUGAGUGACGGUAAUGGGUAAAGAAGCACCGGCUAACUACGUG
rnacentral:rRNA from 1 species